GAUCCUGGCUCAGAAUCAACGCUGGCGGCAUGCCUAACACAUGCAAGUCGAGCGAGAAAGGGUAGCAAUACCUGAGUAAAGCGGCGCACGGGUGAGUAACACGUGGAUAACCUGCCUCAAAGUGGGGAAUAACACCGGGAAACCGGUGCUAAUACCGCAUAUUCUGACGAGAUCUGUGGAUUUUGUCAGGAAAGGAGCAAUUCGCUAUGAGAGGGGUCCGCGGCUGAUUAGCUAGUUGGUGAGGUAAUGGCUCACCAAGGCUUCGAUCAGUAGCCGGUCUGAGAGGACGGUCGGCCACACUGGAACUGAGACACGGUCCAGACUCCUACGGGAGGCAGCAG
rnacentral:rRNA from 1 species